UACGAAGGGUGCAAACGUUGCUCGGAAUUACUGGGCGUAAAGCGCACGUAGGCGGAUCGAUCAGUCAGGGGUGAAAUCCCAGGGCUCAACCCUGGAACUGCCUUUGAUACUGUCGAUCUGGAGUAUGGAAGAGGUGAGUGGAAUUCCGAGUGUAGAGGUGAAAUUCGUAGAUAUUCGGAGGAACACCAGUGGCGAAGGCGGCUCACUGGUCCAUUACUGACGCUGAGGUGCGAAAGCGCGGGGAGCAAACAGG
rnacentral:rRNA from 1 species